rnacentral:lncRNA from 1 species
UCCCAUCCAGCCGCCGUUGUGCUUUCCUCUCUCUCUGCUCGUGACUUCCUGAGUGCGCCCUUCUGGCCUACUCCUUCUUCGGCUCUCAUUGUCCAUUCGCAAACGGCAGGUCGCAACUGGUGAGGCGGUGACCCUCUUCCCUCUCCACUCUGUGCUCGUGGCCCUCUUCCUUCUCUGCACGCGACGCGAUGCGACGCGCCCCCUCUGCUUGUCUAUCACUGCUUGCAAGUUGCAACUUGCAACCCCUGGUGCCAGCGGGUGAGGUGGUGAAGCAUCUCUUCCUCUUCCUCUGUGAGUGUAGAAAUCAACCUGUCACCCGUCAGCAGAUCUAUUGAAUCCAAAUCUAAGGAAGCAGUGAAACAGUGGAUCUUCCUGAGAAGAAGGCAUUCGAGGGUGGAGUCAUUCAUGUAGAAGGAUUUUUUUAUAUACAGUUGUUGUUGCUAUUAUUGAUUCAUGUCAACUUUUACCCCAAAAGAUGUCAAAUUCGUGUCGUGUUCUUCCUUUUUCUAAUGAUGUAUUGAUAUUAAUAUGUCAUGUGAUUUCAGAGAUGGGAAUCCCGUUGGGGAUUUGAUACUUGUUCGGGGACGGGGAUAUUUAGUCCCUGCGAGUGGGACGGGGAGAGGUAGCGGCAGAUUUUUAUCGUAGCGGGGACGAGAACGUUCUAGCCAAAUCCGUCGGGGAUAGCCCCGAUGCCAUCUUGAACCCCAGAGAACACUAGAAGAUACGAGGAGAGGGGCCACCAGAGGUAGGACCCACCUAUCAUAGGGAUGGGGCGGGCAGCGCCCGUUACAUAUUAUUUAUAUUUAUCUUUUUUAUAAAUUUAAAGUCCAUAAUUUAUUUUAUUGAUAACUAUGUGUUUACAGCCAAAAUUAUCUAUUUUGUUAAGUUGUCAAAAUGUGGAACAGACUCUAGCAUUGCGUUCCCCUCGUCGAGACGAUCAAAAAACAUAUAUGGGAUGUCUAAUUCGGAGUCCGGAUGAAGAAGUUAUGCCCUUGAGAAGAUGCUCCGAGUCGGGAGUUCCGACACAUGUCGGGAGUUCCAACAAACGUCGGAAGUUCCGACCCGACUUCCGACUUUGACUUCCGGCAGACCUAAUAACUGUUCGGAUCUGACCUCCGGGAUUCCGAUCUGAACUAUUCUAAACUCGUGGGAAACUUGGAUUAUAAGACUUGGAGAGGUUUCCUACUAGGAUAAGACCACCCCUCUCUAUAUAUAUGAGAGGAUCAUGACCGACUGAGUCCCCAUCUAUCCAAUUGACAUACAAACUAAUCAAUCUACUCCUUUACCCCUUCUUCUCUUCUCCUCCAACCUCCAUGUUGUUCGUCUCUUGGUCUGACGACCAAGGAUGACGCCCUAGGCUUGCUAGUCGACCUAGGGCAACCGCCGACGUCCUUGACCUGACGAGGUCCCUCCCGGGCGAUAGCUUCUGCAGUUUCUUUACUAGUUUGCCUGAAAACUAGCCGGUUCUUCGUCACACAAGUACGUUGGUUAUCCUUUGGUGGUUUGCUUGUAAACCUCUCAGUUCUUCACCACGUAAGAGUGAGAUUCCCGCUGUGUUCUUCAGUCCGUAGGGACCCGGACGUCCAAUGCCCUUUCUGGUGUGUGAUUCGGACCACAUCCGACGUCAACACUAUGACAUCUAUGGUACUAGCAUAUACCCGUGCGUUGCUACGGGAAUAAAAUUUCAAUGCACAAUAAUAUAAAAAAUUAUACCGAGUCAAAAUAUAUAGACUAACAUACUAUUCCGAUCCACUUGCAAAUAAAAAAGCACAAUUUCUAAAAAAAUCAUCUCGCCAUAUGUAUUAUCAAUAUGUACUUUUUUAUUUUUUCUUGGCCGCCGCCAGCCCUGGCCCACCCCGGUGACUCACUGCGUCUCGCCAACGCCCGCUGCGUCGGAGACGUCGUGCUCGAGUUUGGCCCGGGCACCCGCUUGCUCACCGUCACGCUGCUACAGGCAAACGCUACCAUCUCCACUGUCGAGAAGGUCUAUAAUAUUUGCUUUGCGUGUUGUUUCCAUAGCUGGGCUGUGUUUUAAGUGCCGGUUGCUGAAACUUAUAGAGACCUCCUGAAACGAAUUGGAAUUGUGUGAAAUGGUUCAACGUGUUUGGGUGAAGAAAGUAGGUGAUGCAAUACUAUCAUUGAUGAGUCAAUAACUGCGAGUUCUCCAUUGUCAGUUAGUAAUGUUGUAACAUCGCUAAAUAAAUUAGAGAACAUUAUAUAUAUAUUACGCGAGCAUCACUAAAUAUAUCAUAAAACAUCAUCUGUAUAUUACACGAACAUCGCAAAAAACACCAUAAAACAUCAUCAUGUAUAGUAUAUGAACAUAGCAUCUCAUAAAAUACAAAAAUUUAAAAAUAAACAUUUAAUAAAUAAAUAAUUAAGUAGUAUAAAAUAUAAAAUAAAAAUAACUAUAAAAUACAUAAAGACAAAGAUAAAAAGGG